rnacentral:tRNA from 1 species
GCGGGUGUGGCGAAAUUGGUAAACGCAGUAGCCUUGGAAGCUACUGGCGAGAAAUCGCCAUGAGGGUUCGAGGCCCUCCACCCGCACCA